CUGGCGGCGUGCUUAACACAUGCAAGUCGAACGCGAAAGGGACUUCGGUCCUGAGUAAAGUGGCGCACGGGUGAGUAACGCGUAGAUAACCUGUCUUCAUGUCUGGAAUAAUACGCCGAAGGGGGUACUAAUACCGGAUAUUCUUGCUUUUCAUAAGUUAUGCAAGCAAAGGUGGCCUCUGCAUAUGCUACUGCAUGAAGAGGGGUCUGCGUACCAUUAGCUAGUAGGUGGGGUAAUGGCCUACCUAGGCGACGAUGGUUAGCGGGUCUGAGAGGAUGAUCCGCCACACUGGCACUGGAACACGGGCCAGACUCCUACGGGAGGCAGCAGUGAGGAAUAUUGCGCAAUGGGGGAAACCCUGACGCAGCGACGCCGCGUGAGUGAGGAAGGCCUUCGGGUCGUAAAGCUCUGUCAAGAGGAAAGAAGUGUACAAUGGCUAAUACCUGUUGUAUUUGACGGUACCUCUAAAGGAAGCACCGGCUAACUCCGUGCCAGCCGCCGC
rnacentral:rRNA from 1 species